rnacentral:rRNA from 1 species
UCCUACGGGACGCAGCAGUGAGGAAUAUUGGUCAAUGGACGCAAGUCUGAACCAGCCAUGCCGCGUGCAGGAAGACGGCUCUAUGAGUUGUAAACUGCUUUUGUACGAGGGUAAACGCAGAUACGCGUAUCUGUCUGAAAGUAUCGUACGAAUAAGGAUCGGCUAACUCCGUGCCAGCAGCCGCGGUAAUACGGAGGAUUCAAGCGUUAUCCGGAUUUAUUGGGUUUAAAGGGUGCGUAGGCGGUCAGGUAAGUUAGAGGUGAAAGCUCGAUGCUCAACAUCGAAACUGCCUCUGAUACUGUCUG